AGUGAUGCAACACAAAGACUU
rnacentral:snRNA from 1 species